rnacentral:lncRNA from 1 species
CGGGGCGUUACAUUUUGCAUGUCUUUAUUUCUUUGUGAAAAUUACAGGGAGAGAGGUAUUUAAAGAUUAUAUUUAAAAAAUAAAGUUUAAUGUUUACUUAUUCAAAAAUUGGGUAGUAAUUCAACUUUUUACCCACCCACCCCCACCAACACUAUCAAUCCCUCGUUUUUCUCUCUUCACUCCCAAAUCUAGCCAUCGACCACCAACCAAAAUAUGUUCUUGGACUCUGUUGUCUGACCAUGUAUAUAUUUUGGCUCAUUUUUAUCAUAUUAGCUGCGCUUGAAACAAAGUGAACUUUCCAAAGCGCCGUCGCUCCUUAUUCUCUAUUAUCUCUUUCCUCUUUUUCUUUCUCUACCCACCCAUCCCAUUUCGACGUCACUCAGAGGCUCAUGGAGGGACGCUUGGUUGCGUGCUACGUUGCAGUGAAGGGGAAUUUCUGUUUAUGUUGUUUUCCUGGAGACAGAGUCGCUCACCAGGAUAAAUUACGGUUAAUUAGCAAACAACUUCUCGUCGUCGGUGGCGACUGCAAAGUUGUUGCGAUCAAUGGCAAUCGAGAAGGCAUCAUUGAGACGGUUAGAACCUCCAUCCUCUAGGAGCUUUAUACUAGUAAUCCGAGCUACGUGGUUUUCAGUAUUGGGAUCUUACUUCUUAGCAGUAGCAAUGAUGGAUGACAGUUGUGGUGAUUGAUGAAAGUGGUGGCAAAUGUUUCCUAUUUUGUGUGUUAGUUAUUUCUCUUGAUUGGAUGUCAUGUUUGCUGUUGGUGGUUUUUGCGGGUAUGAUGCACUGUGGGUGUUGGCAGUGACAGCGGUGCUGUAAGUGAUGGUGGGGGUUCUAGUGGUGGCGGUGCCAAUGAUGGUUAUGGUGUUAGUUUUUGGUUGGGUUGAGGUUGUAUAAAGAUGAUAUGUAGCCAAAAAAUUGGAUUAAUUUGCGAUGUAGAAAUAAUAUAAAAUCAAUAAAAAUAGAUAAUUU